rnacentral:rRNA from 1 species
GACGAACGCUGGCGGCGUGCUUAACACAUGCAAGUCGAACGGUGAAAGCGGAGCUUGCUCCGCUGGAUCAGUGGCGAACGGGUGAGUAACACGUGGGCAACCUGCCCCUGACUUCGGGAUAACUCCUCGAAAGAGGUGCUAAUACCGGAUACGAAUCCUGCAGGCAUCUGCGGGAUUGGAAAGUUUUUCGGUCAGGGAUGGGCCCGCGGCCUAUCAGCUUGUUGGUGAGGUAGUGGCUCACCAAGGCGACGACGGGGAGCCGGCCUGAGAGGGCGACCGGCCACAAUGGGACUGGGACACGGCCCAGACGCCUACGGGAGGCAGCAGUGGGGAAUAUUGCGCAAUGGGCGAAAGCCUGACGCAGCAACGCCGCGUGAGGGAGGACGGCCUUCGGGUUGUAAACCUAUUUCAGCAGGGAAGAAGCGAAAGUGACGGUACCUGCAGAAGAAGCACCGGCUAACUACGUGCCAGCAGCCGCAGUAA